CAGAGCGACAGAACGUUGGGACCAAGAACAACGGACAUGGCCCAACUGCCUUAGAGAAUGACGUUGCCUAUGUGGCUCUAAGUGCAAAAGGCCCAUGGAGCCAGCUGUGUUUCAAAAAGUAUAAGCUCCUUGGUGUAUCUAGAGAUGAGUAUGACUACUGAACACCAUUCUAGUCUAUAAACUGGACAGGGAAAGCAUCUGGAGAAGAGGGCAACUGCAGUGAACUAUUCAUUCUGACCUACCAACCCCCAACUACAUCAGAAACUACAGAGAGUCCUCACUUAGCUAAACUGAUCAACUCAGGAAGAAGAGGGAAAACUAACCCAGCAAAAGCAAUUACUGCCUAAAGGAGACCACAAGGUCAAGACAGUAGACAGAGUUACACCUAUAUCUCAAGAUGAAAGGCCUGGGUUCAUCUUCUAGAGAAAGGUGA